rnacentral:snRNA from 1 species
AUCGCUUCUCGGCCUUUUGGCUAAGAUCAAGUGUAGUAUCUGUUCUCAUCAGUUGACUCUACUUGGCUAUUUUUCUAUUUCUGACCAAUACUAUAAUAUCUUUAUUACUCUAGGUCUAAUUAGUCUUGACAUAGAAUAGUGCUGACCACUC